rfam:Schistosoma curassoni strain Dakar, Senegal genome assembly, scaffold: SCTD_scaffold0003872
ACACUGCCGAGGAGUCCCAUAAUAGGACGAAACGGCUGUCCAAUGC